rnacentral:rRNA from 1 species
GAUGAACGCUAGCGACAGGCCUAACACAUGCAAGUCGAGGGGUAGAGAGGAGCUUGCUUUUCUUGAGACCGGCGCACGGGUGAGUAACGCGUAUGCAACCUGGCCGUAAGAGGGGGAUAGCCUCUCGAAAGAGAGAUUAACACCGCAUAAUAUUAUUGGAUGGCAUCAUUUAAUAAUUAGAUAUUUAUAGCUUACGGAUGGGCAUGCGUCUGAUUAGUUUGUUGGUAGGGUAACGGCCUACCAAGACUACGAUCAGUAGGGGUUCUGAGAGGAAGGUCCCCCACACUGGUACUGAGACACGGACCAGACGCCUACGGGAGGCAGCAGUGAGGAAUAUUGGUCAAUGGACGAAAGUCUGAACCAGCCAAGUCGCGUGAAGGAAGACGGCCCUAUGGGUUGUAAACUUCUUUUGUAAGGGGAUAAAAAACGCCACGUGUGGUGUCUUGUAGGUACCUUACGAAUAAGGAUCGGCUAACUCCGUGCCAGCCGCCGCCGUAAUAC